UACCAGCAGCCCGAGUGGUCGGGACGUUUAUUGGGCCUAAAGCAUCCGUAGCCGGUUCUACAAGUCGUUCCGUUAAAUCCACCUGACUCAACGAGAUGGGACCUGGCGGAAGAUACUAGUGGAUCUAGGAGGCUGGGAGGAGGCAAGCGGUACUCGAUGGUGAGGGGAUAAAAUCCGUUGAUCCAUGAAGACCACCAGUGGCGAAGGCGGCUUGCCAGAACGGCGC
rnacentral:rRNA from 1 species